CAUAAGGUAUUACAGGCAUGUUUUUGCACACCUCUCAUGUGCGAGUGGGCAUGGCCUCCUUCACAGUUAAGUUUUGGCUGAUUGUGCUCAAAUUUUGUAAGUACCUACAUGUAAAGGGAUGUAGGUAGAUACAGUUACAAUACAAUACAAUACAAUACAAUUUUAUUAGGUCCCUCCAUUACAUGGGUUUUGUGUCGUCGGGCACUCUUCUUAAUUCAGUUUUGUGCACCACUUCCUGCUUUCACCAUGCUGUGCCCACUCUGCUUUACAGUGGACAGCUGCUUCUGUGACACACAUUAAUCUUGCGUUCAUUGAAACACUUAGUUUUGAGUGUUUUGACUCAGUUUUGUUGUAACGUUACCUGUGUUUAUAUUUUCAAUAACUUGUUUUGGGCUUCUCAUAUUUAUCUUUUUUUCUUGGCUUAGCAGGUUUAGUGUAAAACAAGUUUUAGCUGACAUUUUACAUGUUAAGAUUACAUGAGUGCAUACAUUUUAUAAAAGCUAUUUCAAAGUACUGUAGCCAUGUGUAACAUGCAUAUGUCUUAGUGAAUGACUACUCAGCAUGCUGCUUGGUGCUCAAUGGUAAUAGUUUGAUUUGUUUUUGACAUCAAGUAAGAUUUGAUUUUUGUUUCUGAGAUUCCAAAUUCCAAUGUUAUUGGUGGCAAAUAUUUUCCAAAAAUCCUCCAUCUAAAGCUUCAACUGAAUUCUAAAAUGCCUGCAUUUUCUACCAGAAACAUUAUCAUUGAUACCUCCUACAAUAUUUCAUUUUGUCACCAGGUACCUGGACUGGUGAAAAGUGAAAACUGAAAUUCAUUCAUGUCACCAUUAUCCUAUGACCUACCCCUAAAUGGAAUUGAUCUUGCUUCACAAAUGAGUUGUACAUUGUACAAUGUCUAUCAGCUGAUGUCUAUUGUCUAUCUCUCUUUCAGCACAGAAGAUCCUCAGUCAUAGUUAACAAAAUGGAAAAAAUUAGCUGUGUUUUUAAGAUUCCAGUGGUGGCCAUCAACUGCUCAGGAAAGCAGCCCAGAAUCACUUCACAACAGGUUUCCAAAGGAUCAUCAUUCAUCAGCACAGAAGGGUGGGAAAGAGAAGGCUGUUCAAAUUCUAAAAAGCCAGAGCUGCAAAGGAGGUCAAAGAUGCAGUGCAGUUGGCCCACUCAGUAGAGUUUCACUAGUGGUUCUGAUGUGGACUGAAGAUUACACGCUGGAUUGAAGUGGCCGGUCUGGAGCAGCUGUAGUUCAUCAUUCUUGCUGAUUGUGGACGAGUAAGAGCCCGCGUUGGCCCCGAUCGGCGAUCGCUGGCCAAAGCCCACCACCAGUUUGGUGAUAGGCGUUGGCUGUGAUAUCUAGUGUCGCCUAUGUGUGAAAAGGACAAGUUGAUAACAAAACCUGUUGCGCCAUGUUAUUAACCCGCGCCCGGGUGGCCCUCAGCCAACUUGGUGGGGGGGGGGGGAGGUGUAUUCGGCCACACCAGGUUAUCUUGGAAUGUAGCAAAGCUGGAAAGACGCAGUAAAAUCAAUCUAUAGAUCGCUAUUUUUCUUCAGAAUCAUACAGGUCAUUUUUGAUCAGGUCAUCGCUGAGGUCACUGGAGGUCACCAAAAGUAAAAUGAUGACGAAUUUUGGCCCCCGAUUUUGACAACUUCACAAAUUGGUUCAUAAUUCGGGAACCAAAGAAGCUACAGCGCCGCGGAAAAGCGAAUUCGAUAGCUCUUUCGAAAAUCUUUCAGGUUGUCAGAUUUGAGCUAAGGUCAACUAGGGUUAAGCCUCCAAAGGGCAAAAACUGAACAAUCGGCUUGCUUCGGAAGUCGUCUUUUCUUUCUUUUUUUUUUAACUGAUACCAACCUUUUAUUACGUUGAUUUUACCAGCACUGCGUUUCUCUCGUCUUCUUGGCCUAACAAGGUCAGCUUAAUAAAUUUGACCUCAGGUCAAUGUCGCAGAAAAUGCCAUUUUGCAUGUCAUUGAUUCGUUACAUUGAAAUUGAGAUUAACAUCAGUAGCGGCGGAACACCUUCAAUUAAGGGGGCAUUGCCGACUUUUGGUCUCAUUCUUUCCAUGCAACGCCCAUAGGGCUAAUGUUAAAAUGCCGAAAUCAAAGGGGGCACGGUGCCCCGGUGCCCUCGGCCUGUUCCGCCGCCUAUGAUUAUGAUGCUUUUAGCGCUCUGGCCACGUUCCAUCUAAAAUCGAUGUACAAAAAUAAACUGUUGGGAGGCGUUACAUGACCUGAGAUGACCUCAGGAGCAUACGAUAGAUCCCGAUGCUUGAGUGCUUUUGUUUCAAAAGCAGAACAUUUCGAGUUCCUCAUACUGACUGAAACUGGAGACGUCGCAAAGCUGACCUGACCCUAGGUCACCACCGAUAUCAAAAUUAAAGAUAUUCAAGAUGUUGGUACUGAUUCUCUCAUGCAAUAGCUCGAGUUUCAAACUUCUACUUCAUGGUGACCUGACCUGACCUUAGGUGACAUGGGGUUACUUUUUUCACAAUUGAUGCGAAUCGAUGCAUUAUACAUAAGCUAUACUAAGUUUCGUGUCGUUUUAUCUAUGCAAGCACAAAAUUGUCAGGUGUGACCAAAAACGCCCCCACGGCCCACCCACCUGGGGAACGUUAAAGCAGUGAUGUAUUUUUUCGGUGUAUUCCACGAUGCAUCGAUCGGUGUACUUGAUAAUGCAUUAUUUAUUGCUGCGUGUGUACGCUUUUCUUCUGUUCAGUGUGAUCUGUGAUAGGAAAACUACCGAUAUAUCUCCACGCGCAUGACUGAAAGAGCUGGCGUGAUCUAUAAUAUUGGGUGUCUGUUUUUGUUUGGCAUUUUAUAAAUAAUGAGUCAGC